CAGUCGCCGCGGGAAUACGUAGGGUGCAAGCGUUAAUCGGAAUUACUGGGCGUAAAGCGUGCGCAGGCGGCUUUGCAAGACAGAUGUGAAAGCCCCCGGCUCAACCGGGGAGGGUCAUUGGAAACUGGGAAACUUGAGUGCAGAAGAGGAGAGUGGAAUUCCACGUGUAGCGGUGAAAUGCGUAGAGAUGUGGAGGAACACCAGUGGCGAAGGCGACUCUCUGGUCUGUAACUGACGCUGAGGAGCGAAAGCGUGGGGAGCGAACAGGAUUAGAUACCCCGGUAGUCCCUGUCUCUUAUAC
rnacentral:rRNA from 1 species